AGUCAGUUAGCUCAGUGGUAGAGCACUACCUUGACACGGUAGGGGUCAGCAGUUCGAAUCUGCUACUGACUACCA
rnacentral:tRNA from 2 species